rnacentral:rRNA from 1 species
AAUGAACGCUGGCGGCGCGCCUAAUACAUGCAAGUCGAGCGAGAAGACGUAGCAAUACGUUUGUAAAGCGGCGAACGGGUGAGGAAUACAUGGGUAACCUACCCUCGAGUGGGGAAUAACUAGCCGAAAGGUUAGCUAAUACCGCGUACGCUUCUUGGACUUCGGUUCAGGGAGGAAAGCGAUGCCGAGGGUAUCGCGCUCUUGGAUGGGCUCAUGUCCUAUCAGCUUGUUGGGA